UGGGCUUCGUUGAGCACCUUUAUUAAUAGUGCACGAUGAGGCUCGGAGUUUAUGAGCAGUUCGAGCAAAGAGAUCCUUGCCGGAGUCUUAUUUAGUUGCUCAACUACUUUAAACUCGCUUUGUUGGAUGAGACGAAGGAACUCAUGCGCCUCUUCCAAAGUCACCGCCUUUCCUUGAAGACCUUCUUUCUUUUCAGCUCCUUUUACCCCC
rnacentral:lncRNA from 1 species